rnacentral:lncRNA from 10 species
UGAAAAUUCAGUAAGGCAUACACAGAUUACCACCACCUGUGUCAGAAGUAUAUAGAGACACAUGUUUGAAAGAUGCAUAAUGAGAUGUAGAACAAUGUCUCUCUUAAUUGUGUUGUUGGCCUAGCUCACAGAGUUCAGUUUUUGCUGUCAUCACAGCUGGGAAUGAGAAAGGGAGGGGGCUCCGGUUGGUCUCCCUCUGCCUCUGGACCAUAUGUGCAGGACAUGAGGCUUCCACAGGAACAGCUCUGAAAGCUGAAUUCUCAGGUCCUUGUGAAGGAGGGAAGCUUGCCUGCCUUGGAGCGUGAAAAAGUCUUGCUGGACAGAAGUCUCACGGUUUAAAAAUGGGAAGGGAGAGGAUUGAGAUCACACUAGCAUGCACAGAAAAUUCUUAAAACAAAAAGAUAAUGAGAGAAACUUCAUCAGAAUGUGAAAAGAACUAUAAAGCUACAGUGCUGAAGAGAAGGCAA